UACGAAGGUGGCAAGCGUUACUCGGAAUUACUAGGCGUAAAGGGCAGGUAGGCGGUUUGAUAAGUCCGUUGUGAAAGCUCCCGGCUUAACUGGGAGAGGUCAAUGGAUACUGUCGAACUUGAGUAUGGGAGAGGGUACUGGAAUUCCUGGUGUAGCGGUGAAAUGCGCAGAUAUCGGGAAGAACACCCGUGGCGAAGGCGGUUCUCUGGGGCGGUACUGACGCUGAGGAGCGAAAGUGUGGGGAGCGAACAGG
rnacentral:rRNA from 1 species